GAUAUACUCCCUCCGUCUGAAAAUACUUGUCAUCAAAAUGAAUAAAAGAUGAUAUAUCUCGAACUAAAAUACAUCUAGACACAUCCUUUUUAAUCCAUUUUGAUGACAAGUAUUUUCAGACUGAGGGAGUAGUAG
rfam:Triticum aestivum genome assembly, contig: Triticum_aestivum_CS42_TGACv1_scaffold_032746_1BL